GAUGAACGCUGGCGGCGUGCCUAAUACAUGCAAGUCGAGCGAACGGACGAGAAGCUUGCUUUUCUGAUGUUAGCGGCGGACGGGUGAGUAACACGUGGAUAACCUACCUAUAAGACUGGGAUAACUUCGGGAAACCGGAGCUAAUACCGGAUAAUAUUUUGAACCGCAUGGUUCAAAAGUGAAAGACGGUCUUGCUGUCACUUAUAGAUGGAUCCGCGCUGCAUUAGCUAGUUGGUAAGGUAACGGCUUACCAAGGCAACGAUGCAUAGCCGACCUGAGAGGGUGAUCGGCCACACUGGAACUGAGACACGGUCCAGACUCCUACGGGAGGCAGCAGUAGGGAACCUUCCGCAAUGGGCGAAAGCCUGACGGAGCAACGCCGCGUGAGUGAUGAAGGUCUUCGGAUCGUAAAACUCUGUUAUUAGGGAAGAACAUAUGUGUAAGUAACUGUGCACAUCUUGACGGUACCUAAUCAGAAAGCCACGGCUAACUACGUGCCAGCAGCCGCGGUAAUACGUAGGUGGCAAGCGUUAUCCGGAAUUAUUGGGCGUAAAGCGCGCGUAGGCGGUUUUUUAAGUCUGAUGUGAAAGCCCACGGCUCAACCGUGGAGGGUCAUUGGAAACUGGAAAACUUGAGUGCAGAAGAGGGAAGUGGAAUUCCAUGUGUAGCGGUGAAAUGCGCAGAGAUGUGGAGGAACACCAGUGGCGAAGGCGACUUUCUGGUCUGUAACUGACGCUGAUGUGCGAAAGCGUGGGGAUCAAACAGGAUUAGAUACCCUGGUAGUCCACGCCGUAAACGAUGAGUGCUAAGUGUUAGGGGGUUUCCGCCCCUUAGUGCUGCAGCUAACGCAUUAAGCACUCCGCCUGGGGAGUACGACCGCAAGGUUGAAACUCAAAGGAAUUGACGGGGGCCCGCACAAGCGGUGGAGCAUGUGGUUUAAUUCGAAGCAACGCGAAGAACCUUACCAAAUCUUGACAUCCUUUGACAACUCUAGAGAUAGAGCCUUCCCCUUCGGGGGACAAAGUGACAGGUGGUGCAUGGUUGUCGUCAGCUCGUGUCGUGAGAUGUUGGGUUAAGUCCCGCAACGAGCGCAACCCUUAAGCUUAGUUGCCAUCAUUAAGUUGGGCACUCUAAGUUGACUGCCGGUGACAAACCGGAGGAAGGUGGGGAUGACGUCAAAUCAUCAUGCCCCUUAUGAUUUGGGCUACACACGUGCUACAAUGGACAAUACAAAGGGCAGCGAAACCGCGAGGUCAAGCAAAUCCCAUAAAGUUGUUCUCAGUUCGGAUUGUAGUCUGCAACUCGACUACAUGAAGCUGGAAUCGCUAGUAAUCGUAAAUCAGCAUGCUACGGUGAAUACGUUCCCGGGUCU
rnacentral:rRNA from 1 species